rnacentral:rRNA from 1 species
AGUGAACGCUGGCGGUAGGCCUAACACAUGCAAGUCGAACGGCAGCACAGUAAGAGCUUGCUCUUACGGGUGGCGAGUGGCGGACGGGUGAGGAAUACAUCGGAAUCUACUUUUUCGUGGGGGAUAACGUAGGGAAACUUACGCUAAUACCGCAUACGACCUACGGGUGAAAGCAGGGGAUCUUCGGACCUUGCGCGAUUGAAUGAGCCGAUGUCGGAUUAGCUAGUUGGCGGGGUAAAGGCCCACCAAGGCGACGAUCCGUAGCUGGUCUGAGAGGAUGAUCAGCCACACUGGAACUGAGACACGGUCCAGACUCCUACGGGAGGCAGCAGUGGGGAAUAUUGGACAAUGGGCGCAAGCCUGAUCCAGCCAUACCGCGUGGGUGAAGAAGGCCUUCUGGUUGUAAAGCCCUUUUGUUGAGAAAGAAAAGCAGCAGGUUAAUACCCCGCUGUUCUGACGGGACCCAAAGAAUAAGCACCGGCUAACUUCGU